GGAUGCACCCCUCUGUCGAUUGCAUCACAUUGGAGCUCCUCCUCUUACAUUGUCUGGUAGGGGCCUGGCAAGGAAGUGUUAACACGAGAAAUGGAGAUCUCCUAUUCCUGACUCCCUCCUGGAACCAGCACGUCACUCCAGGCCCCCAGAGGCAUUGGCCCUCCUGUGAAUUCAACCAAGCGUGGUGUCCCAUAGCAAAUAUGGAAAACGCCUGGAAAAAGCCACCAGAUGGUGCUUCUCCAUGCCAAGUAAGAAGCCAGGUGUGGUUCCCGUGUCUGCUCUCCGCAGCCCUCCUGGGAGGGUUUGAAGAGACAGCUGAGAGCGGCCAGCUGGGAAGAGCACGCUUGCCUUGUCAGCGGAGAGUAGGUUCUGAGCUCUGCUGAGUCAGCGUGGCCAGGCAGGGCUGGGGGGCCUCAGGGCUCCAGGCCCCACCUCUUACCUCUACAGUCUCCCACCCCGGCUGCCUGCCCCAGCCGGUCAAAAUGCCAGGUAACCCCCGGUGGAGAUAGGCACCUGUGAGAAGUAUCACUGCUUCGUGGGUCAGGGGCUUGGACCCACCAGGGCUGUGUCACCUGCGGACCAUGUGAACUCAAGUGCGGUCUUCGCUAAGAGGCCAAGCAAGAUGAUGUAAUCACCUGAUGAGUUCCUCCUGCCCACUGCACAGACAAAACCAAUUCACUGAGACGACGGCAUUGCAAUAAAGAAAGAGCUUAAUUGACACAAGGUUGGCCACUCCUGUCUCAAAUCAAAUCAAUCUGAAAAUUUGGAGGCUAGGGUUUUUAAAGGAUACUUUGGUGGGCAGGGGGCUGGGGAAUGGGGGCUGCUGAUUGGUUGGGGAUGCAAUCACAGGGUUGUGGAAAUUGGUCCUUGUGCACCAAGUCCACUUCUGGGCGGGCUCCCCAGGACCGGCUGAGCCAAGAGUUGAAGGUCUGGGUGGGGCCAUCCGGUCAUCAGAAAUGCAGGUAAAGACAUCUCAAAAGGCCAAUCUUAGGUUCCACAAUAGUGAAUUGGGACAGUUGCAAAUCUUGUAUCCUCUGGAAUAAUGGCUGGUUGUCAUUUAACUAUGCCUGCGUCUUAGCGAAAUUUAGGCCCCUCUCAUCCUCCUAACCUGGUGGCCUUUCUUUUCUUUUCAUUUUUUUUUAAGAAACAGGUUCUUACUCUGUCCCCCAGGCAGGAAUGCAGUGGUGUGAUCGUGGCUCACUGCAGCUUAAAACUCCUGGGCUCAAGUGAUCCUCCCACUU
rnacentral:lncRNA from 10 species